CCCUUCCCACCUACCAGAAGCAACUUACAGGGCGCAAUAUAAUCAGGGCCCAGGCCAGGGCACCUCGGACGUAGAUCAACAGCAGAAACCAGCCUGAUGUUCUCACCACACUGACCCAACGACCAACCCUCAACAGCUCAUGAACACACACCACUCCCAGGCCCGUCCUAACACCCACUCUCGCUCCCUCCACUCCCAGGCCCGUCCUAACACCCACUCACACUCCCUCCACUCCCAGACCCCGUCCUAACACCCACUCUCGCUCCCUCCACUCCCAGGCCCGUCCUAACACCCACUCACACUCCCUCCACUCCCAGACCCCGUCCUAACACCCGCUCGCACUCCCUCCACUCCCAGACCCCGUCCUAACACCCGCUCGCGCUCCCUCCACUCCCAGGCCCCGUCCUAACACCCGCUCGCGCUCCCUCCACUCCCAGGCCCCGUCCUAACACCCGCUCGCACUCCCUCCACUCCCAGGCCCCAUGCAUGCCUUGGGAGCCCAGCCCUUCUCGUGGUGCAGAUCUCAGCACUCACCAGCCACCUGCCUCUCCCACCUAGUGGGCCCUUUCCUGACUGCGCUGCCCAACAGGA
rnacentral:lncRNA from 1 species